rnacentral:rRNA from 1 species
CGUGGGUAACCUGCCCAAGAGAUCGGGAUAACACCUGGAAACAGAUGCUAAUACCGGAUAACAACAGAUGAUGCCUAUCAACUGUUUAAAAGAUGGUUCUGCUAUCACUCUUGGAUGGACCUGCGGUGCAUUAGCUAGUUGGUAGGGUAACGGCCUACCAAGGCGAUGAUGCAUAGCCGAGUUGAGAGACUGAUUCGGCCACAUUGGGACUGAGACACGGCCCAAACUCCUACGGGAGGCAGCAGGA